GCCUAACACAUGCAAGUCGAGCGGCAGCACAAGGGAGUUUACUCCUGAGUGUGGCGAGCGGCGGACGGGUGAGUAAUGCCUAGUGGAUCUGCCCAGUCGAGGGGGAUAACAGUUGGAAACGACUGCUAAUACCGCAUACGCCCUACGGGGUGAAAGAGGGGGACCUUCGGGCCUCUCGCGAUUGGAUGAACCUAGUGUGGGAUUAGCUAGUUGGUGAGGUAAUGGCUCACCAAGGCGACGAUCCCUAGCUGUUCUGAGAGGAUGAUCAGCCACACUGGGACUGAGACACGGCCCAGACUCCUACGGGAGGCAGCAGUGGGGAAUAUUGCACAAUGGGGGAAACCCUGAUGCAGCCAUGCCGCGUGUGUGAAGAAGGCCUUCGGGUUGUAAAAGCACUUUCAGUAGGGAGGAAAGGGUGAGUCUUAAUACGGCUCAUCUGUGACGUUACCUACAGAAGAAGGACCGGCUAAACUCCGUGGCCAGCAGCCGACGGUAAUACGGAGGGUCCGAGCGUUAAUCGGAAUUACUGGGCGUAA
rnacentral:rRNA from 1 species